UACGAAGGGGGCUAGCGUUGCUCGGAAUCACUGGGCGUAAAGGGUGCGUAGGCGGGUUCUUAAGUUAGAGGUGAAAGCCUGGAGCUCAACUCCAGAACUGCCUUUAAUACUGGGAAUCUUGAGUUCGGAAGAGGUGAGUGGAACUGCGAGUGUAGAGGUGAAAUUCGUAGAUAUUCGCAAGAACACCAGUGGCGAAGGCGGCUCACUGGUCCGAUACUGACGCUGAGGCACGAAAGCGUGGG
rnacentral:rRNA from 1 species